GAUUACCUUACCUACUCCACCACAACCAGCAACAUCCCAUUAUUAUCCUACCACCGUCACACGGCCUGGCGACGUGUCCCUGUUAAAUAAUGAUGCCAUACACCCAGGAGUGAUUUCUGGAGUGGUAGAGGAGAACCCAUUGGGGGCCCAAGAAAACAGCUGGCAGCCCGGCAAGUUCAAAUAUAAGACACUCUAAAAAAUACUAAAAGCUUUUCAAUAGCAUUGCCAACUCAUUAAAAGGCAUACCUAAGUUGUUCUGAUCGUGGCGGGGGUUGUUUGUCAAACAACACAUGUUGUCAUACUAAUGCUUUUUAUACCCCAUUCAGCUGUACCCAGGGAUGUAGUGGACAUGGAAAGGAUUAAACAUUUAGACUUUCAUCAAAGUAAAAAAUGCUGGUUUGUCCUUUUUCAUCAAUGUCCUCAAAAAAGCAGGCUGCAGAGCUACUGUGUCUGUGGGGUGACUGUCUCUGGAGGGCUGGCAGGCAGGGGCAA